GAUGAACGCUGGCGGCGUGCUUAACACAUGCAAGUCGAACGGAAAGGCCCAAGCUUGCUUGGGUACUCGAGUGGCGAACGGGUGAGUAACACGUGGGUGAUCUGCCCUGCACUUCGGGAUAAGCCUGGGAAACUGGGUCUAAUACCGGAUAGGACCACAUUUUGGAUGGUGUGGUGGAAAGUUUUUCGGUGUGGGAUGAGCUCGCGGCCUAUCAGCUUGUUGGUGGGGUAAUGGCCUACCAAGGCGUCGACGGGUAGCCGGCCUGAGAGGGUGUACGGCCACAUUGGGACUGAGAUACGGCCCAGACUCCUACGGGAGGCAGCGGUGGGGAAUAUUGCACAAUGGGCGCAAGCCUGAUGCAGCGACGCCGCGUGGGGGAUGACGGCCUUCGGGUUGUAAGCUCCUUUCGCUAGGGACGAAGCGUUAUGUGACGGUACCUGGAGAAGAAGCACCGGCUAACUACGUG
rnacentral:rRNA from 1 species